AUUGAACGCUGGCGGCAGGCCUAAUACAUGCAAGUCGAACGAGUGGCGGACGGGUGCGUACUGUCUGGGAAACUGCCUGUUGCAGGGGGAUCACUACUGGAAAAGGUAGCUAAUAACGCAUACCAUCCGCUUUCCCCAGUGGGGAUUAGCUAGUCGGUGGGGUAACGGCUUACCUAGGCGACGAUCCCUAGCUGGUCUGCGAGGAUGACCAGCCAAACUGGAACGGAGACACGGUCCAGACUCCGACGGGAGGCAGAAGUGGGGAAUAUUGCACAAUGGGCGCAAGCCUGAUGGAGCCAUGCCGCGUGAAUGAAGAAGGCCUUCGGGUUGUAAAGUACUUUCAGCGGGGAAGCGUUACCCGCAGAAGAAGCACCGGCUAACUCCGUGCCAGCAGCCGCGGUAAUUC
rnacentral:rRNA from 1 species